GUGGUUGUAGCUCAGCUGGUUAGAGCACUAGAUUGUGGUUCUAGGGGUCGCGGGUUCGAGCCCCGUCUCCCACCCCA
rnacentral:tRNA from 1 species